AUUGAACGCUGGCGGCAGGCCUAACACAUGCAAGUCGAGCGAGCGGCGGACGGGUGAGUAAUGUCUGGGAAACUGCCUGAUGGAGGGGGAUAACUACUGGAAACGGUAGCUAAUACCGCAUACCAUCAGAUGUGCCCAGAUGGGAUUCGCUAGUAGGUGGGGUAACGGCUCACCUAGGAGACGAUCCCUAGCUGGUCUGAGAGGCUGACCAGCCACACUGGAACGGAUACACGGUCAAGACUACUAAGGGAGGCAGCAGUGGGGAAUAUUGGACAAUGGGCGCAAGCCUGAUGCAGCCAUGCCGCGUGUGUGAAGAAGGCCUUCGGGUUGUAAAGCACUUUCAGCGGGGAGGCGUUACCCGGAGAAGAAGCACCGGCUAACUCCGUGCCAGCCGCCGCGGUAAUUC
rnacentral:rRNA from 1 species